GUGUCUGUGGCACAGUUGGUUAGUGCAUUCGGCUGUUAACCAAAAGAUUGGUGGUUCGAGUCCACCCAGAGAUG